rnacentral:rRNA from 1 species
UGCAGUCGAGCGAGAAACCCUUUCGGGGGUUAGUAAAGCGGCGGACGGGUGAGUAACACGUGAGAAUUUACCCUUUAGUGAGGAAUACUCUCGAGAAAUCGGGGUUAAUACUGCAUAACUCCCUUCGGGGAAAAAGGUGGCCUCUUGCUGCCGCUAAAGGAUAAGCUUGCGGACUAUUAGCUUGUUGGUAAGGUAAAGGCUUACCAAGGCUUUGAUGGAUAGCCGGCCUGAGAGGGUGAUCGGCCACACUGGAACUUAGAUACGGUCCAGACUCCUACGGGAGGCAGCGGUGGGGAAUAUUGCACAAUGGGCGAAAGCCUGAUGCAGCCAUGCCGCGUGUGUGAAGAAGGCCUUCGGGUUGUAAAGCACUUUCAGUUGUGAGGAAAGGGGUGUAGUUAAUAGCUGCAUUCUGUGACGUUAACAACAGAAGAAGCACCGGCUAACUUCGUGCCAGCAGCCGCGGUAAUACGAGGGGUGCAAGCGUUAAUCGGAAUUACUGGGCGUAAAGCGUUCGUAGGCGGUCUAUUAAGCAAGAUGUGAAAGCCCAGGGCUCAACCUUGGAACUGCAUUUUGAACUGGUAGACUAGAGUACUGUAGAGGGUGGUGGAAUUUCCAGUGUAGCGGUGAAAUGCGUAGAGAUUGGAAGGAACAUCAGUGGCGAAGGCGGCCACCUGGACAGAUACUGACGCUGA